GUUGCUCAAGCCCUAGAGUCAGGCCACUCUGGCUGUAUGUGCAGAAUAAACUGGAGUAAGAACAUGAAAACCAGUUAGGAAGCUCCAGCAGUCAUCCUCGCCAGUUCCGAACCACAGACAAAUUGACAAAUCGACAUCGAUGCCACUGUGAGAGAAUAUUAUUGGAGAAGUAUGCUCAAGAAGAAAACCAUUUCAACCCAACUGGAGAGACAGGAAAUAUUCAUUACAGCAAGGUUCAAGUGUAGUGGUUGAGACAAUCAUGCCUCCCUCUCAGCUGUGUGCACAAAGCCCAAUUAUCUAAGGGGUAGGCAGAUGUGUGGUCACAAAGCAGGCAAAGUGAAAGUAAGGAAGUAAAAAAUCAAGAUAAUCCAAAAAAAUUGGUAAUUGCCCUUCUCUAAAUAAAAGCCAUAGCC